GGGCCGAUCGUCUAAAUGGUUAGGACGCCUGCCUGACACGCAGGAGGUUGUCGGUUCGAGUCCGACUCGGCCCA
rnacentral:tRNA from 1 species